AAUGUUCCUUCCCCUCGCUUGGGCCCCAAGUGCAUAUGGGUCCCUGUGCCUGUGUCCAUAAAACCCAUUGGAUAAUCCAGAACAGCUCAGACGUUAUUCUGAACACAUCAGCUCUGAGAUCUUCAAGCUCCACAGAACUUCUACAGAUUCUUUCUGUCAUUGUGAAGAAACAUCUUGAAGAAUGAGAAGCCUGAUGUGUGUGCUGUUCCUGCUGAUCUUCUGCACUAAGCAGGGGACUUCUUCGGGGCCUCAUCAUGCUGAAGUUCCUCUGAGAUGUUGCUUUAAUUUUAUUGACUUUCAAAUUCCAACCCAAAUGAUUGUCAGUGCUGUGAAGACAGGUUCACAUUGCCCUGCUCCUGGCAUUGUGGUUACGACACCUAGAACUGAAUUUUGUGUGAGACCAGACGAGUCUUGGAUAAAGAGCUUCAUGGAGAGGCAGCUUUGAAAAUGAAAACACAAUACAUAUGCACAAAAUAAUACUGUUAAUGAUUUAAACAACUGUAAUCCCUUCUUAAUUUUGUAUUUUUUAUUUUUUUUUGGCUGUAUCUCAUCAAUGUUACAAGAUUUGUAAAAAAAAAAAAAAAAAAAACCUGCUAAAUGCUGAACCUGUUCACAUUUAGCACUCAAUAUGCUGACAUGUGCAGGAUGAUGAUACAAAUGAAUAUUAAAAUGCUUGGAUAUUA